UGAGGAAUAUUGGGCAAUGGACGCAAGUCUGACCCAGCCAUGCCGCGUGCAGGAAUGACGGCCCUAUGGGUUGUAAACUGCUUUUGUAUGGGAAGAAACCCUCUUACGUGUAGGAGGCUGACGGUACCAUGCGAAUAAGGAUCGGCUAACUCCGUGCCAGCAGCCGCGGUAAUACGGAGGAUCCGAGCGUUAUCCGGAUUUAUUGGGUUUAAAGGGUGCGCAGGCGGGCGUAUAAGUCAGUGGUGAAAUCUCUCGGCUCAACUGAGAAACUGCCAUUGAUACUGUAUGUCUAGAGUACAGAUGAGGUAGGCGGAAUGUGUCAUGUAGCGGUGAAAUGCUUAGAUAUGACACAGAACACCGAUUGCGAAGGCAGCUUACCAAACUGUUACUGACGCUCAGG
rnacentral:rRNA from 1 species